rnacentral:lncRNA from 1 species
AUCAGCUGGUUGCCAAUCUUAACUUUUAGUCAUUAAGGAGAAUUUUCAAGACAAAAUCCCAAUUCAGCUGCUUACUAGGAGUGCGGCCCAGGCUCAAGGCUGCUUUCUACCAUCUUAGAAGCAGAAAAAAACCUCAAACUUGCCUUUCCUCUUGGAAGCAAGCUGAAAAUCCAGAAAGGAGUUGCCUGCACUCCAUCAACAUGGAAACAGAAAAACUCACUUUCCUUGUUGGACGUGAGCGAAACUCCAGAAAAGGAGUUGUACAGCAAGAUAAACCUUAGGUCUCAACCAAAUUUGGGGAGAUCAGGGAUUCUCUGGAGAGGAAAUCUCUGCACCUCAGCAAAUUGUCCCAUUGGUUUGAGCAAUAAAGAUAGUUCAAGCUGGUACCAAGCAUUGAUAGAUUUGUUAAAGGUCAGGGCCACCUCCAUUCAGAGUUCCCCGUGUUGGUCACCAAUUUGUAAACCAAAAUGUAUCUGAGACAGCGAGAUUGUCCCACUGCACUCUAGCCUGGGCAUGACAGAGCGAGACUCCGUCUCAAAAACAGACAGACAAACAAAGAAAAACCCUCUAGAAGGUAGAGCUAAGACCACAGGAAACAAUGUGCUAGUGGUGGGGUGGGGGUGGGGGGUACCAUGGGUCAGGAUUGAGGCCUAAUCAAGGAACAUUCCCACCCUGGUUGAGAGGACCCUUGCAAUGUCUGCUGGGCAGGAUUCCGAGAGUGCCACAGACUAAUGAUGGCUGGCUGUGUCUCAUUCUUUCCCUUUUGGAAUGGGAGUGCUUAUCGUAGGUAUCCUGGGAGAAUUCCCUCAGCAUAAUUAAGAAUGUGAGUUAAUCAAGAUUCAUGCCUGAAUAUUCAGUCACUUCAUCUUUACAUGGCAAUGGGCCAAGGCAACACCUACAAACAGGGUCUACAUAUUACUCAAACCCAAAGAAUUUUGAGGUCUGCUUCAAAACACCAAAAAAAGAGAAUUAUCUUAAAAGAUGGCCAUGACAGUUAUAGCUGGGAUCAUGUUCUUUUAUUUUCAUAUUACCAAAGUAAUGCAUGAAUGCAUGCUUAUUUUUUUUUAAAAUUUAGGAAAACAUCAUUGUACACCGAGUAAAAAGUGAAAAUAUUGUUUAUUGCAGUCCACAAUCUCUUCCUUGCACAACCCCACUUAUCUCCCCAUAGAUAGCCACUGAAAUCGUUCAGCAGAACUGAUGAACUAUGGUAUAACUCUUAAUGUGAGAUAGGAAAAACAUAACAAAAAUGGUUAUAUAAGUGUAUUGUGUAGAUGUGUACUUAGGAAAGUGCUAGAAGGAAUCAAAUAUUAAUCAUGGCAUUCCCUGAAUUGUGGGAUUAUGCUUGUUAUUUGCUUUCUUCCUGAUGUUUUUCUAAGUUUUCUAAUUUUCGAUAUAAAAAUGCUAAUUUUGUUCAGUUCCCACCUAUGAGUGAGAAUAUGCGGUGUUUGGUUUUUUGUUCUUGCGAUAGUUUACUGAGAAUGAUGAUUUCCAAUUUCAUCCAUGUCCCUACAAAGGACAUGAAUGCUAGAUGACGAGUUAGUGGGUGCAGCGCACCAGCAUGGCACAUGUAUACAUAUGUAACUAACCUGCACAAUGUGCACAUGUACCCUAAAACUUAAAGUAUAAUUAAAAAAAAAAAGAGAGAAAAAAAUGCUAAUUUUAUAUUUAUGUAGAGCAGGAUUUAUGUCCAAUUCAAUUGAAGGAGUUUCAAGUCAUUGCAGUAAAAAGUUUUAUAAAAGUCGGGUGCGAAGAACGAGUAAUGAGGUAGGCCUACAAGACAGUCAACACAAGAAGAAUUUACAAGUAAUUCAAUAAAUACCUAUUCAGUGCCAACAUUGUUUUAGGAGUUAAGAAGAAAAUGGUGAUUAAGACAGGUAAGAUCCCUCUUCUCAUGGACAUAAAUAUGUCACAAAGGAGGCAGAUUAUGAAUAAUACAUCAAUAAGAUAAUUCAGGUAAUAUCUAGUGCUAUGAAGAAACUAAAGAAGGGCAUGGUAAUAGCACAUGCUGUCAGGGAGUAAUAUCUGCGAGACAGGACAGUCAAAGAAGGCCUCUCUGGGGCCUUCGGAGCUGAGACUUGGAUGCGAAGGACCAACCUACUCAAUGCUCUGCAGCCAGAGCAUUUGAGGCAGAAGAAACAGCAGUUGCAAAAACCAAGGCAGGUAUAGGCUUGGUUGAUUCAGGGAGUGGGUGGAUUCAGCUGGUACAAAUCUGUGAAGGCAAAUCCUGAUAGUAAUAUGAACCUGUUGAAUGGAUGGUAGUUACACACAUUGAAAUGUCUGCACUUUUGGCAGGGAUUUUCUUGAGAGGAAAAAGUAUGACCUAUAAAAUAUUAUUGACAAAGUUUUCAAAUGUGGCAAGAGCAACUGCAGUGCUAAAAUGGUAUUAAACCACACAGAAGCUAGGCACGGUGGCUCACGCCUGUAAUCCCAGUAUUUUGGGAGGCCGAUGAGAACGGAUCACCCGAGGUCAGGAGUUCGACACCAGCCUGGCUAACAUGGGUGAAAUCCCGUCUCUACUAAAA